CCUACGGGUGGCUGCAGUGGGGAAUAUUGGACAAUGGGGGGAACCCUGAUCCAGCCAUGCCGCGUGUGUGAAGAAGGCCCUCGGGUUGUAAAGCACUUUCAGUGAGGAAGAACGCCUGGUGGUUAAUACCCAUCAGGAAAGACAUCACUCACAGAAGAAGCACCGGCUAACUCCGUGCCAGCAGCCGCGGUAAUACGGAGGGUGCGAGCGUUAAUCGGAAUUACUGGGCGUAAAGCGCGCGUAGGUGGCUUGAUAAGCCGGUUGUGAAAGCCCCGGGCUCAACCUGGGAACGGCAUCCGGAACUGUCAAGCUAGAGUGCAGGAGAGGAAGGUAGAAUUCCCGGUGUAGCGGUGAAAUGCGUAGAGAUCGGGAGGAAUACCAGUGGCGAAGGCGACCUUCUGGACUGACACUGACACUGAGGUGCGAAAGCGUGGGUAGCAAACAGGAUUAGAUACCCCGGUAGUC
rnacentral:rRNA from 1 species